rnacentral:tRNA from 1 species
GGUAAAAUGACUGAGAUAAAAGGUGAUAGAUUGUAAAUCUAUUAAGAAGAGUAAAUUCUUUUUUACCA